CAAAGAAGGUUUCUCUUCAGACUGUGUCAAUCUUUUGUCUUUUACUAAAGAUUUCCAUGGAGAGGAACAUGUAUGAGUUUCUACCCAAAUUUUUGAGGCUUCACUUCGGUGAAGC
ensembl:snRNA U5 U5 spliceosomal RNA